AGGAAAAGAAUGUUUGGCUAAUUUUAGAAUUGCACGACCCACAUUUCAAUUGUAGUAAAUAUCAAAUUGGCAUCAUUGUAAUAUAAGAGUAGAUUGUUUUAAUUAAGUGAACUAACUGACUUAGUGUAACUGUCUUACAAAUGUACUCGAAAAUUAAUUGGGAUAGCUUCUAUUCUGGAAUUAGUUAUUGCACAGACACGGAAGGAAUAAGGAAGCCAAAUCCCUUUACUCUUAUCAUCGCCUGACACCGAAAGAAAUAUUUUGGAAUUUCUUAGAAAUUUAAAUGCAGGAUAUUGCUGCAAAAAAAACUGGAGAUAGCUGACACCAACAUAUAGUUAAGUCUAACUCACUGUAGCAAUUUGUCCUUUAGGUCAGCUACAUACGCCCUCCUAGGUAGCUGAAAGGCAGCCUUAUAUAACAGGAAUGCAGCAGGGAUGAAUGGCUUGUUAGCUAUAGCUAUUAAAAUCAAUAUAAAAUAGGGAAAAAUUCACAAUGCUUAUAAAAUUGUAUAAAAUAUUACACAACAUAACGUAUUUUUUUUCUAUUCUAAGAAAUAAUGAAGGAACUUUAUUUUGUGUUCUUCGAGUAUUACUAAUUCUUUAAGUUCGAAAUUUGGUAAUUUAAUAGUAAAUGUAGAUUCAUAUAUACUAUUUUAUUAAGUCAAUAUAUACAUUUAAAACUUUA